rnacentral:rRNA from 1 species
UGGACUUGCUCCUGAUUUCCGGCGGNGGGUGAGUACACGUGGGUACCUGCCUGUAAGACUGGGAUAACUCCGGGAAACCGGGGCUAAUACCGGAUGGUUGUUUGAACCGCAUGGUUCAAACAUAAAAGGUGGCUUCGGCUACCACUUACAGAUGGACCCGCGGCGCAUUAGCUAGUUGGUGAGGUAACGGCUCACCAAGGCNACGAUGCGUAGCCGACCUGAGAGGGUGAUCGGCCACACUGGGACUGAGACACGGCCCAGACUCCUACGGGAGGCAGCAGUAGGGAAUCUUCCGCAAUGGACGAAAGUCUGACGGAGCAACGCCGCGUGAGUGAUGAAGGUUUUCGGAUCGUAAAGCUCUGUUGUUAGGGAAGAACAAGUACCGUUCGAAUAGGGCGGUACCUUGACGGUACCUAACCAGAAAGCCACGGCUAA